rnacentral:lncRNA from 1 species
UCAUCCAUCAAGUUUGAGAGUCUUACACCUUUCUUUCUUUUUUUUGAAUUUAUUUUCAAGGCUUACAAGACUUAGGCUCAGAGGUCCCUGCUCCAGGCUAGAGCAGCCAGUGGAAGCACCAGCACCAGAGAUGAUGGAGUCAAAAUGACUGCUUUGCUGCUGCUGUAUGUACCUUGGAGCUGGAUUUUUCUAUGAAGUCUGUAGAAGCUUGUUACCAUGUUAAAUGCCCAGCUUUCAUGAAGUCCACACCUGAAGGAUGUCUUCUAAUGCUCCUACAGCUUCCUUCAGUGUUUGCUCAGGUUAUUGGUGUUUGA